CCAGACUCCUACGGGAGGCAGCAGUGGGGAAUAUUGCACAAUGGGGGAAACCCUGAUGCAGCGACGCCGCGUGAGUGAAGAAGUAUUUCGGUAUGUAAAGCUCUAUCAGCAGGGAAGAAAAUGACGGUACCUGACUAAGAAGCCCCGGCUAACUACGUGCCAGCAGCCGCGGUAAUACGUAGGGGGCAAGCGUUAUCCGGAUUUACUGGGUGUAAAGGGAGCGUAGACGGCAUAGCAAGUCUGAAGUGAAAGCCCGUGGCUCAACCCCGGGACUGCAUUGGAAACUGCCGGGCUGGAGUGCCGGAGGGGUAAGCGGAAUUCCUGGUGUAGCGGUGAAAUGCGUAGAUAUUAGGAAGAACACCAGUGGCGAAGGCGGCUUUCUGGACUGAAACUGACGCUGAGGCACGAAAGCGUGGGGAGCGAACAGGAUUAGAUACCCGGGUAUA
rnacentral:rRNA from 1 species